UGGGGAAUAUUGGGCAAUGGGGGGAACCCUGACCCAGCGACGCCGCGUGGGGGAAGACGGCCUUCGGGUUGUAAACCUCUUUUGUACGGGAAGAAGGAAGUGACGGUACUGUACGAAUAAGUCCCGGCUAACUACGUGCCAGCAGCCGCGGUAAUACGUACGGGACGAGCGUUGUCCGGAAUUACUGGGCGUAAAGGGCGCGCAGGCUGUGCUGCAAGUCCGCUGUUAAAUGUCUGGGCUUAACCCGGGCAUGCGGUUGAGACUGCAGUGCUAGAGUGCUGUAGAGGCAAGUGGAAUUCCAAGUGUAGCGGUGAAAUGCGUAGAUAAUGGGAAGAACACCGGUGGCGAAGGCGACAUGCUGGGCGGCAUCUGACGCUGAGGCGCGAAAGCCAGGGGAGCAAACGG
rnacentral:rRNA from 1 species